GAUUUCCAACUAUCCAGGUGGAAUGACCAGAUCAGAUACAGAUAUGACAAUUUGCUCAGGCCUAUUUCUAGCUGGCCAAACCAUAGUACGAUCUAUGACCACGGUCCUACCAACCAUAGUGGCCCAAUUUGAUAUCUAUAGUCACGACAACACUUAGCCAAAGGUGACUCCUAAUAGAUAUUCGCGUUACCACUCUCGUUAGAGGGUACAUCAUCAUCCACUGGGAGCGGUUCUCUUAUGUCUUUCUAUACCAAAUGGGGGAGGGAGAAAUAGAUACCUCGAAGGGUUAGGGGAAUAGAUACCACUCAGAGAUAAAAAGCCUAAUGAGACACUUGAUUCAAUAUGCAUAUCUAGACACAUAUUUUGGAGCAUUCAU
rnacentral:lncRNA from 1 species